UACGUAGGUGGCAAGCGUUGUUCGGAAUUACUGGGCGUAAAGGGCUCGUAGGCGGCCAACUAAGUCAUACGUGAAAUCCCCCGGCUUAACCGGGGAACUGCGUCUGAUACUGGAUGGCUUGAGUUCGGGAGAGGGAUGCGGAAUUCCAGGUGUAGCGGUGAAAUGCGUAGAUAUCUGGAGGAACACCGGUGGCGAAGGCGGCAUCCUGGACCGAUACUGACGCUGAGGAGCGAAAG
rnacentral:rRNA from 1 species